rnacentral:rRNA from 3 species
UUAAAUUGAAGAGUUUGAUCAUGGCUCAGAUUGAACGCUGGCGGCAGGCCUAACACAUGCAAGUCGAACGGUAACAGGAAUCAGCUUGCUGAUUCGCUGACGAGUGGCGGACGGGUGAGUAAUGUCUGGGAAACUGCCUGAUGGAGGGGGAUAACUACUGGAAACGGUAGCUAAUACCGCAUAACGUCGCAAGACCAAAGAGGGGGACCUUCGGGCCUCUUGCCAUCGGAUGUGCCCAGAUGGGAUUAGCUAGUAGGUGGGGUAACGGCUCACCUAGGCGACGAUCCCUAGCUGGUCUGAGAGGAUGACCAGCCACACUGGAACUGAGACACGGUCCAGACUCCUACGGGAGGCAGCAGUGGGGAAUAUUGCACAAUGGGCGCAAGCCUGAUGCAGCCAUGCCGCGUGUAUGAAGAAGGCCUUCGGGUUGUAAAGUACUUUCAGCGGGGAGGAAGGGAGUAAAGUUAAUACCUUUGCUCAUUGACGUUACCCGCAGAAGAAGCACCGGCUAACUCCGUGCCAGCAGCCGCGGUAAUACGGAGGGUGCAAGCGUUAAUCGGAAUUACUGGGCGUAAAGCGCACGCAGGCGGUUUGUUAAGUCAGAUGUGAAAUCCCCGGGCUCAACCUGGGAACUGCAUCUGAUACUGGCAAGCUUGAGUCUCGUAGAGGGGGGUAGAAUUCCAGGUGUAGCGGUGAAAUGCGUAGAGAUCUGGAGGAAUACCGGUGGCGAAGGCGGCCCCCUGGACGAAGACUGACGCUCAGGUGCGAAAGCGUGGGGAGCAAACAGGAUUAGAUACCCUGGUAGUCCACGCCGUAAACGAUGUCGACUUGGAGGUUGUGCCCUUGAGGCGUGGCUUCCGGAGCUAACGCGUUAAGUCGACCGCCUGGGGAGUACGGCCGCAAGGUUAAAACUCAAAUGAAUUGACGGGGGCCCGCACAAGCGGUGGAGCAUGUGGUUUAAUUCGAUGCAACGCGAAGAACCUUACCUGGUCUUGACAUCCACAGAACUUUCCAGAGAUGGAUUGGUGCCUUCGGGAACUGUGAGACAGGUGCUGCAUGGCUGUCGUCAGCUCGUGUUGUGAAAUGUUGGGUUAAGUCCCGCAACGAGCGCAACCCUUAUCCUUUGUUGCCAGCGGUCCGGCCGGGAACUCAAAGGAGACUGCCAGUGAUAAACUGGAGGAAGGUGGGGAUGACGUCAAGUCAUCAUGGCCCUUACGACCAGGGCUACACACGUGCUACAAUGGCGCAUACAAAGAGAAGCGACCUCGCGAGAGCAAGCGGACCUCAUAAAGUGCGUCGUAGUCCGGAUUGGAGUCUGCAACUCGACUCCAUGAAGUCGGAAUCGCUAGUAAUCGUGGAUCAGAAUGCCACGGUGAAUACGUUCCCGGGCCUUGUACACACCGCCCGUCACACCAUGGGAGUGGGUUGCAAAAGAAGUAGGUAGCUUAACCUUCGGGAGGGCGCUUACCACUUUGUGAUUCAUGACUGGGGUGAAGUCGUAACAAGGUAACCGUAGGGGAACCUGCGGUUGGAUCACCUCCUUACCUUAAAGAAGC